UGUUAAAAAUUUCAUCCAUUUAUACUGUUUAAAAUUGGUGUGGAUGAUGGAAUAACCAAACAAUAGCACGUAACUUGCCUAGUGUACCUCAUGCCGACGUACAAUGACUAAUUUUUAAUAGUAGAAUUGGAUGAAAUUUUAAAAA
rfam:Gossypium hirsutum cultivar TM-1 unplaced genomic scaffold scaffold336.1, whole genome shotgun sequence